CGUUUGUAUGUACUGACCUGCCUCAUAGUAUGGUGCGCCACUGGUGGCCAAUUACUGAGUAGGAGCGGAGUAUAUAAGCAGUGGCUCUCUCCCCGCCUCUUCCUUUGCGCUCCCAUCUGCGUCACCUCCGCUUGUGUUAGGGGUCGGUUUGCAACAGGUAUGUCUCGUGCUGUAUUUUUGAUUGUUUGUCUCGUCAAUGAGAUGCUUAAGGCAUUUAUUUUGCACCGCAGAGCGACCAUAUUCCCAGGCUUGUGUGUCCCCUCCGCUUGUCUGUGCGUGCGCCCCACUCCUGGCUUGUGGUAGGUGUCCUCUCUCUCUUGGCGUUAUCGUGCAUGCUUUUACCUAGCUAACGCUGGUGUGGUCGCAGGUAAAGUGCUGGUGGAUGCCUGGGCUCUCUCUGCCUCCCUCAUGUGUGUGUCCGCCGCUGCUGACAGGUGUAUUGGGAAUCAGCUGAUCGCAAUUACGCUGCUGACGUCACGCUCAGCUGACUGGGACCGCUGCUGUUUUGUCUCCGCCUGUUUUGUCUCCGCCUGUUUUGUCUCCGGCCGAUUUGGUCGGCCGCUGUCCCCGCUGUUGCCUCCGGCUGUUGGUCGGCCGCCGUCUCCGCUGUUGUCUCCAGCAACUUGUCGGCCGCUGGCUCCGCUGUUUCUGGUGGUUGGUCGGCCGGAGCUAAUUAUGGACUGAUCUUUUUAAAUGUGUGAUUGACUGGUAGUUAUAUUCUCUUCUUUUAUUCGGAUUAGUUUAUUCUUUUGUAUUUUGUUUCCAUUUGGGUAUUUAUUAUAUUGUAUAAUUUGUUAUAUUAAUUUGAAUCUUAUCAUUUAUAUUUUGUUCAGUUAGUGGGUUUUGUUGUGUUGAUUUGCUUAUUUCUCCCUCAUUAAUUUCUGUUAUCCCUUUCAGUUGCUGAAGGCUGAUGGUGGCGCUGGUGAUCCGGGUGGCGGGUCCCCCCUUUUCGUGUGUGCUGUGCUCCCUGGGAUUUGGUUCACUUCAGAGUGUGUGUCACGUGUGCGUGGGUGAUUUUAGUUGGUUUGGUGGAUCCCUCUCCCUUUCACUAGCCCCUGUCCAACCGGUAAGCCUCAGCACCUGAUAAGGUUCCCUUUUUUCCCUUCCCCGUGUGAAUGGUGUUUGUUUUAAACAGAACAUGUAUAUUUUUAAAACUGUAAAAUAAAAUAUUUUUGUACAUUUCUGA